GUGCUUUGUCAGCAUAUAUCCUAAAAUUGGAAUGAUGCAGAGGUUAGUGUGGCCCGUGUAUAAGGAUGGCAUGCAAAUUUGUAAAGUAUCCCAUAUAAAA
ensembl:snRNA U6 U6 spliceosomal RNA